rnacentral:lncRNA from 1 species
CAUUAUCGAUUUUGUGAUGCUUUAUCAUUCUUGGGUGAGCAUAGAAAGGCAUUAGAAGCCAAUGAGAGAGGUCAGGACCAGUGCAGAGAGAAUCCUGAAGGAAUUAAGGGUCUUAUUGAACAACAUCAGAAGCUUAAAAAUCAAAUGGAAGAAGCUAGAGGUGUAAAGCAAAAUAAAUACAGACUAAAGAAACAACUGUUGCAGAAAAAUUCUUCAGAAUACGUGUCAUUUGGUAACCAAGAAUCAAGGAAAGAAACCAAGAAUCACAACGAAAACAAAAAACUAUGUGAUUCUCAUCACCAUCCAUGUCAGCAGAAGCAAACAACUGUAAGCUAUAAACCAAUGUAUUAGUGAAAGAACAUAAAGCUGAUCUUGAGAAUAGAAAAGGAGUGACUGAGCUGUUAAGGGAGGGGUCUACGAAAAGAUUAUUUGGUCAUGAGAAAUAUGAAAGCAGGAAAAAGAAACUCACCUUGAAUUUGAUGAAUAUAAAUCGAAACAGAGAGACUUAGACAAGCUUACAAGACUGAUGUCAGCCCAUUCAGG